GGAGAGGUGUCCGAGUGGCCGAAGGAGCACGCCUGGAAAGCGUGUGUAGGGUAACCCUCUACCGUGGGUUCGAAUCCCACCCUCUCCGCCA
rnacentral:tRNA from 1 species